AACAGUUUGCGACUUUUUUUUUUUUGAACUAAGAUGGUUUGCGACUGUGUUACAGUUUUCACAUUCAACUGACGACAAACUUUUUUUUUUCUGGCAUCAAAACCAGCAGAUACCACGCUCAGUUGUCAGUGACUCAGUGCUUGGCGGUGUAGCACUGGCAGGCUAGCCCUCCCAAAACGGUUCAGGGAGGAGGUGACUGGCACUGCCGAAUCGGCACCCUUUUUUGCAAAAGCAAUUUCACCCGUCAACCAAAAAUGCAAAAUGGAAGAGAAUUUUGCUCGGGGCCGCACCAUUGUGGAGGUCAAACUUGCUCGAUCCCAUGGCGGAUAGCGGAGGCCUGAUGCUGAGAGGAGAUCCGGAGAUCCAGCGUCCUGCUGCUCAGGGAGGGGUUUCAGUUCAGUUCAUAGCCGCACACAAGAACAGCUCGACCUCGACGGUCUCGAAAGCUUCCAUGUACCAUGUUUCAUCCAUCAAUGGCCGCUCGCAGUCCUCGCACUCAAGCCAGGAUGGCCAGAAGCGAAGAAAUCACAGACAAGAAGGCGCCAAGCUCAAUUGAAUCGGUUUGUGCUCCACAAAUUCAUCUCAAUUGUCCUAAUCCUAUUCCUACCUCUGUGUGACAAGAAUCCACGCCCGAAUCAACCAACACGCAAUUGAGUCGGUUGCGCAUACAGGAGAAUUGGAAGAGAGAGAAAAAAUUGAAGAAUGAUGAUGUGCCAUUGCCGUCUCCCGGCUAUCUGAACCCCUUCCUGAGCGAGUACCUCCCCUGCUUCGCCGCAGCCCCGUCUGGGGCUCCAGCCCGCGCGCGCACGGCCUCCGGCAGCUCUGCCUCAGCGAGCGCCAGCAGAGCGGCCGGCGGAGGCCGGGACGGUGCGGCGAGGAAGAGGCCCGUGAUGUCGCGGAGCGGCGGCCGCCUCCGCGUCGCCUUGCCGCCCACGCCCGGCCUCUUCAUCGUCACGUGGAUCUUGACGGCGAUGCCGCGCGCGGCGGCCGGCGGCGCGUUCUCCUUGUCGCCGCCGCCGCAGGAGCCGAGGUUGAGGACGGCCAUCUGGGACGGGUCGAUUGGAUUCCCUUCGAGCUACGUAGGGUGCUCGGGUGGAGGCGGCAGGAUAGGCGAUCUUGCGGCGGAGUGGAGAGGGCGUGAUGGGAUGACCGGAUGAGGAUCAAUGAGCAGGAGGCGGCGCUCGCUUGUAUUUGUAAUUGGGUCGUGGGGGCGGAGGUGGGAGGAGGGCAUGCCGCCAUGGCUCUGAAAUUUUGGGGCUUGGGAGGGAGUGGGAAGUGGGAAAUGGCGGAGCCCAUUCCAUUUCCACGGGUCGUUCAAGUUUGCGGGGAAUCUUUGGAAGCGGAGGGCGUGUGUACUCGUUUUUCAGAUUUGGAUUCGAGAGCGCGGAGGUGGGUGACUGGCGAGGACGAAUAUGGAGGGAGGGAGGGAGGGAAGGAGGCGGAGGCUGCAAAAGUUGUCUGCCGCCUCGCGGGCGCGGCAGCGGUGGGGCUUUGCCUCUUUGGCCUCUGGGAAGGUUCGAAAUUUUCUGCCCGGUUUGGGAGACUCCCGUCCCUAGGAUUUGCGCCAAAUUUGGGCGCGCCAACGCCAACAACCAGCACGUGAUACGGCGCUGCUGAUUGAUGCCGGGGCGGUGACAAGGGCACAAGACAAAUUCGGAAAUCCUGUAUUCCAGUUGGACUUCGGACAGUGGAGGAGACUGGAGAGUUACUUCACUUGUGUGCAAUUCGAGAGUACGCAGGUGAGGUGGAAAAGAAGACUAGUGUGUAAACUUAUUGAUUUUACUAUGCUCUAUCGUUCACUCUUUAUUUUUCUAUAUAUCCAUGGAGUUACAUUUCAUAAGAUUUGGUCGCUCAAUAUUUUAUAAAUCACUAGCCAAUAUGCUUGUGCGUUGCACGGAACAAAAAUAUUAAAUUUAAAAUAAACUACUUAAAUAAUUAUAUAUCUGUCCAAAUAAUAUAUCACAUGAUUAUUAUACUCAGAAAAAAUGAUGGGGCACUCAUUUACUGUUAGAUUUUAAUUGAUAUGAUCGAAAAAGAUGACAUAUAAUAUAUGUUUGUUGCAGCUAUGAAAUACGAAUUCCUCUACUCAAAUAUUAAGAAACCUAGGAUCUUUUUGAAGAUGUUUAUUCAAAAUUGCAUUUUAGGAUUAGUCAGCAGCACACGGGAGCUUUCAUGUAAAUAUGUUGAGUCUUAUCUCUGUCACGCUUUCACCGUCCAUUUUCUACAAUUGUGAACCGUCCGUCCAUGCGCAUGCCUCGCCGCCGCUUCGAUGGCCGGCACCAUUGUGAGCAGCGCUGGCGAGCAAGGUGCCGGGGCCGGUGGAGGCCAACAAGCUGGAACUCCCAGUAUUUGCCUCCCCUCUGUCGCGUUCUUUCUCCUGGCUGGCAAGCACCGCGGUUGCAGCGGACCAGCGCGUGGGGCCAGAAGGUCAAGGGCCUCGGUGUUUUGGCCCAUGGCACAUGGCAGAGUGCCGGAGGAGCACAUCAGGCAGGGAGGAAGAGUUGUUGAGGGGCGGUGGUCGAGCUGCAGGUCCAUAGCAGCGGUGCUCGAUUCCACGACUACUGUAGCCUGCAGCUUGAUUCGCGCCGACAAUGCUCGAUUCGGUAGGUGGUAGUAAAGCCAACACCUCCCUGCUCCUCUUCCUUUAGCAGGAACACGCGAGCACCACCAAAUCCGGGUCGAGCAACCAAUUCACACAAGACAAAUCUUCCUUCUCUCUGAUCCCUCUUAGUUGUAUUUCACAUCAAGCAACGUAAUCAGAUAAGCCCCAAUCCACCUGCAGAUUGACAAGUGCAGCUGCAGCUCCCAAAUUCGAUCUCCUACCAUUGUGUCGCGCAUCCUCAUGCAGGGAGGUGAGACGCAGAUAGGUGGCGCAGGGAGCAGGAGAAGGGAGGUGACGAGCGCCGUGCGGUCGGCUAACGGAUGGGGCAAGGGGGAGCUUGCAGACCAGGAUAACAGAUAGAGAUUUGAACUCGUAAGCGGGGCGGGGGCGGUCCGCGGUUGAUGCAGGAACUGAGAUGGAAUGGGAGGUGACGUUGUAACAACUCUACCUAAAUUAAGUACUUUUCACUAUAAACCAGUGAUAAAUCCCUGAUUAAAGAAGUGAAAUGACCCUUAUAACCCUAAGAAGCUCUUUUUGGAGUUUGGAAUAAAGCUUGAAAUUUUAUAUGCAAACUUAAGUUUCUGCCCACGUACGAGUUGUAAAACUUUUUAAUUCAAACAACUUUUGUUAAAGACACUUUGACUAAUUCGGAGUGGAAGGGAGUCAAAAAUAGCAAUCCAAAACCGGUUUACUAAAGGAUCCUAAAAAUCUCUUAAGUCCUGGAAUUCGAGUUUUCCUCCAUCUUUGCAAGCUUUCAUCUCCCGAGUUCCAAUCUAAACUCAAAUCAGGGCCUGAAUGAAAGUUGUAGUACCUCGAGUGUGUUCCAACUUUGUUACACUGACCCAGAUCCAAAUCGGGCCCAAACCUGUUCAAAACCCCGAUCAAAGUGAGGUAAACCAGUCAACUCACUCCUGAUGCCUUAAAAAUCCUAAGUCUGAAAUUCCAGAUUUUUGGCUAGCCUUGGCAUGAAUUAUCUUUGAAUCCUUUCACGAUCUAAACCAAUGCCUUAAACAAAGUUUGAAGAACGAUCAGAGUUGAGCAAGUUUGUUUAAGGGAGUUUCGGAAGUUGUGUUGAAAGAUCCGGAGGAAGAUCUCCCCAAAGCUGGUCAGGCUUGCUGCCCGAAGGGAGCCUCGACGCCCGCGCGCCAGAGCACGUUUGCUCACGCGCCGCGCGCCGCGUGGCCGCCGGCCACCGGCAGCUCGCCGGCGCCCUAUCACCAGCGCGACAGCGACAGGACAUGAGCCACGGCGCCCAACCCGCGCCCGCGACAGGACGGAGCGAGCACAGGGCUAGCCAACCUCCGGCCGCGCGCAUGUCGCCUUCCGCCUGCCACGGCUCUGCUCCGCCAACCCCGUUCCGCCCGUCCGCCGGGAAAGCUGCCACGACCAUGGCGUCCCGCGCCUCCGCCUGCUCGCCCAACCCCCACGGUAGCCCUCCACCUCACCCGCCCGACAGACCGGAAGCCCCAGACGCGCGCCGCCCAAGGCCAAUCGCCGCCGAAGACCACCCGGAGCUCCGCCUCCUCUGCCCAAUGGCGCCGCCGGCCAAUGGCCGCCUUGCCUGCGCACUCGCGGCUCCCGGGCUUAUCCUUUCCCCACCGGAGCCCCGCCUCGACCCUUCGUGCCACCCCGGCCCUAUAAAAGGGACCCCCUCACCGGCAAUGCCACCCCUUGCCACCGCCCGCACUCGCGCCCCCGCUUUCUCCUCUGCGCCGCCGUUGAGCUUCCGUGGAGCUCACCCCUUUGCGCCACCCCACACUCCGGCGAUUUCGCCACCACACUCUUGAGAAAGUUCCCCUCUCCGCUCAAGCCGCUUCUUCCAACUCACCAACCGCCCGCUCCUCCGCGCGGUACUCGAGCUUGCUUGUGUCCGCAAGAAGCACCGCCGCCGCCGGAGCACCGUCGAAGCACCACCGCCGCCGGAGCACCGUCGAAGUCUCGCCGCCGCCCAAGCUUUCGCGCGUACGACCUUCCGCCCCAGCCUACUCCUGUUCGACCCCAAGGCUUCACCGAUAGACCUGGAGGUAAGCGACCGACCCCUUGUGUCUCGUCUCGGCUGACCCCUUUUGUUUCGUUUCGACCGACCCCUUUUGUUUCGGUUCGUCCGACCCCUCUCUGUUCGGUUCGUCCGACCCCUCUCUGUUCGGUUCGUCCGACCCCUUCUCGUUCGGCUCGCCAGACCCCUUUUUCCUUCAUCUCGCCCGACCCUGCCAAGUUUCGCCGACCCUUUCUCCGCCUCGCCCGAGGGCUCGGCUGCAUCUUUUUCUUUGACCCGAGGGUAUCGGUGAAUUUUUUUUUUCCGGGGAUUUCUCUGUGUUGAGUCUGAGGGCCUCGGUACGGUUUUUCCUUAAAUCUGAGGGUCAGACCAUAAGUUUCUCCCAAUCAGACCCUUUCAUCCUGUUCCCCACCAAUAGAAGUUGAACUCCUGACCUUUCCUGUAGCUUUGCUACAAGUGUCCGAGUUAAAACAUGAGUGUGUUGAAAUAACCAUCUAAAAUGUUUAACCCCUGCAUUGCAUUUCCGUGUAGAGUUGAAUCUCGCCGACGGAACGUAUGAGCUUCACCCGGCACUGGAAGAAAACCCCGCCGAGGAGCUGCACCCCUUCGAAGGAGAGCCCGAACCAGAGCAAGACCCCGAGGACCCGCAAGCUUUUCCUGAAGGCAAGCCCCGGUGCAUGAACUCACUGUUUUACUUUCAUGCCACUUAUUGAUUACUUGAUUGCGCAUUUACGUUUCUAGGAGUUGUAAUGAAACCUUAGAUGCAUAAACUUAUUACCUUGUUUGAUUACUAGUUGCUAAGGUCGAGUGGUGCAAUGCUUAAUAGGUUUCGGUAAAAGUCGAGUGAUUUUCUAUCACUCGCGAGUUAUAGGAGUUGAAUGUUCCAGUUAUGUCGCAACUAUAAGGACGACGGACGGGGUCAGGCUUAUGUUCGAUACUUGGUGGAUUGCCCCGUCUGUCUAAAUGAAAAUGGACUAAGGUCGAAACGUGUCGGCGUUCGUGAUCAAGUGUUUGAAAGUACUAAUCUCAUACCUAGUAUGAGAUGGGGAAGCCUAGUACCUGAUUGAACUGGGGCGUGGCAUACCCUCCGGCUGUCCUUGGAACGUCGUUCCCAUGGUGCAUCAUGUGGGUGCAAGUGCGGUCAUAGUACGGCAGAGGCCGGGAUUAUGGAGCAUUGCACGCCAAAGGCAGUUGGCCCUGACACGUGCCUAAGGGAUCGAUGGGGACGGCGGACAAAUGAAGCGACCCUUCAUGGUGCGCGGAUGUCGUGAGAUUAGGUUUGCCAUGCAUGGUUAAUAAAUUCGAAUCGAUUCGUCUGCCUCUCACAGUUUGGGACUACUUGAUCGCUAUUCUGCACUGAGUAAAGAUGGAACAUGAUGAUGAUAUUAAUCUUGAUGCUUGUUAAGUAAUUGCUCGGAAAUCAUGCUUGUUUAGCAUAAGUUGCUAAUCUAGACUGGAUAAAGAACGUAGAACAUGAGCUAAAAUGUUGAAAGUAAGGACUGACUUUAGACGCUUUGGCAAAGAAAACCCCAGAGCCAGAAGGCCUUGCAUGUCUAGGUCUCGGUCGUGUCUUCCCGAUGGGUCAGUCUUGCUGAGUACUAGUUGCUCAGCCUUGUUGUGGCUAAUCUUUUCAGGUAAUGCCAAUAGUUUGGUUGCUGGUACCACUUGGCCGGCCCAACUUCCUCCAGGCUGGACAGUCGAGUGGGAUCCCUCCUCGGACGGCGAAGGAAGGAAUUUUUGAUGUCAUGAUCGGCUCCGUCGUGAUGUCAUGUAUCGACGUUUAGCUUUCGCUAGUUCUAUUUGACUUCGAACCUUGCAAAUUUCGGUCUGAAUUUCGAAAACUCUGAUGUAAUAAAAUAUGGAACUUGUUGUCGUGAUGGAAUGUUGUAACCUCUGUGCUACUCACCUUCACGUGAGCAAUGCUUCUCGAUCCUGUUUAUGUGGUUAAUCGGAUGAAAUCCGACGGUCAACCAAGUUGACUUGCUUAAAGUGCAUAAUCGCGUGUCAGGCGACUUCAAUGCAUUUUAGUCAGGUUAAUUUGGGCGGUUCCGCCACAGACGUCAACAGUCAAUGAUGGAUGGAUGAAACAGUCGAUGAUAGAGUUGGAUUGCGGGUUGAUUUCAGUAAAAUUCGAGGGUUUUUGGCAAAAUAAUCACGACGGUUGGAAGAAACAACCGCACUUUAAUAUUAGGUAUAGAUAAAAAAAGUACUAUAUGAAAAAAAGGGGGAAAUGCUAAGCUUGGAGCGUUUUAUUGAACCUCGGGCCCUUGGCACAAAGGCGGAUCUAGUGCUGGGACAGGCGGGGCUCAAGCCCCCCUACCGCCGCUCGGACAAUGGAGUCCCCCUUAGCCCCUCCUUGAUUUUUUUAGAAAGAAUGAAGAAGAAGGUAAGGGAAGGAAGGAAGGAGAAGAAGAGAGAGCCCCUCCUAACCUCAUAGGCUAGAUCCGCCACUGCCUCGGCACUCUAUUUUCUUUCUCGUUCCAUGCCGCGCCCCAAAUAACUUCUUUCUUUUUUUGAGUAGUUCACCAUUGAGAUUUAGGACUUAGGUCAAAGUUCACCGGAGUCUGGUGGGCUUCAAGGGAGUAUUGGUAUAUUUCUACUAUAAAUUUGGUUGAAGUUAUCUAGGUUUGACUUAGAACAAACUUGAACGACCUAAAUUUUGGAACAGAAAGGGUAUUUUUGAAUCAGUCCUCUCAAACCUUGUAGAUCUUGAUGCCUAACCCAACGGACUUGCCAUUAUCUUUUCCCCUGUAAGUCUAUAAUGGGCACCUCUAAAUGUGACAUGCUUAAAUAUGAUUUUCCUGACAAUAGAUGCCACCACAUGCGUUUCUUAAAUAUUUUGAUUCAUGUAAUUCUUAAAAUUUAAUUUUAAAGACAUACACAUGGAUUUGUUCUUUAUCAUGUCAUCAAUGACUUUGUACUAAGUGUGGAACCACCUACCAGCGAUGGUGUAUGUAGUGGAACGAGUAUGGUUGAUCUGUACUAUUUGCACAUAGACACAUGAGUUUUAAUCGACAAAAUCUAUAGGUGUAUAAUUAAAAAACAUAUUUCUACAUAUAUAUAAACUUGUCCAUAAAAAACUCAUAAAUUUGCAAUUAGGGGAAAGCUUUGGGGGUGUUUGGUUACAGGGACUUCAUAUCGAAUGUUUUGAUACUAAUUAUAGGUUAAUUAUAAAAUUAAUUGUAUAAAUGAAGGCUAAUUCAUGAGACAAAUCUAUUAAACCUAAUUAGUCCAUGAUUUGACCAUGUGAUGUUACAGUAAAUAUAUGCUAAUUAUGGAUUAAUUAGGUCAAUAGAUUCGUCUCGCGAAUUAGCCACGGCUUAUGCAAUUAGUUUUAUAAUUACUUCACGUUUAGUCUUUCUAAUUGGUAUUCAAACAUCCGAUGUGAUCUGAACUAAAAAUUAGUCCAUGGAUCCAAACACCCUGUGAAACUGAGUGGAGCAUGAGUGUCCAUUGUGGAUGUACUGGUCCACCGUACCGUCCGCGGUUCUUUUCUCACCUUUUUCAGCUGCUGGAGGCCAUCAAACCGGUGGAGGUCGAUGGCUACUCGUACUAGGUGAGUAAAACGAGGCUGAAAACUAGAGAAGUGGUGUGACAUCCAUGAUCACAGAGUGGAGAGAAAAGCACCUGAUUGGACAUUGGUCAAAAGUAUGGCCUAAACAGAGGAAGGAGGUAGUGUAACAGAUGAGGGAAACCUUUCUUACUUCGUACAAUUAUUAAGACGGGCUUCUGACCUCUUGAUGUCCAAGAUGUUGACUUUGCUUUUUAGUUAUUGAACUUUUUUCUACAAGGAGGUAAACGCUGGAGUUGAAUCAGCACAUGAUACGAAGAUAAGUUGUUCCAUCACUCCAGCUUUGCCUUGUGGGUAAAGGUAGUUCUGUUUUAUUCCCUUCGGCCAUACACAAAUGAUGUCCUGAGUUGUCUUGAGCUAAUAAUUUUAAAAUUUUUGAGUAUUACUUUUGAUAUGUCAAGUUUGAAUACUUUCAAAAUUAUAUGGAUAUAUUUGUCUUGAAAUAUAAUUUCCUAAAAAGUAUAUUUUUUUCUUUUUUUUCUAAUGUAAUAAAAGUAUUAGUCAAAAUUGUAUUUUGAAGACCGUGGUGUUAGGAUCCCAUACAGAUGUGUGAUGAUCCUACGAUGCCAGCUAGACAAUUAUGAUCCCAUUUUGAAUUGUAAUUCCACAUUAUCAUAUAUGAUCUGAGGUGAGAAUUCUGUUACUUUGUUUGAGCCCCAUAGGAUUAAUAGGAUCCUACAAAGCAUUUCCUGACAACAAACUUUGUAAACAUAUUAUAAAAUAAGGUAAUAACUAUGAGAAAUUAAGUUUAUGUUCAGUCAACAUGUUGUAAUAUACUAAGUAAUAUAAUAAUUGAUUCAUGGACCUUUUAAACGAGCUAUGAUGAAAUAUUGUUUGAUUAAGGAGAAUAAGUGCACUCAAAUUUACAAAAUAAAUUGUUUAUAAAAAUAAAUGUUAUGCCUUAACUUUCACAAUAUAUUUUAUUUCUAUAUAAAAUAUAUGUAUUUUUCAAAAUAUGAUAUAAUCAUGAUUCUGUGAUCUUAUUCUCUGGUUCUAUCAGGCAAGGCAAAACUGAUCCUACAUAGGACCCCUAUUUUGACAAACUUGACCGCCUGCCUUCCUAGAUUCGAGUUUAAAGGCUGUUUUGCCCCAAAAUAAAUCGACAUUAUUCAAUGAUGAAAUGUCCUUGGUGGGUACAAAUGCUGUUUUGUCGAUAAUGGCUUAAGAGUAUCCUAUGCCGUACACAAGGGUAAACAAACACUUGAUGUCGCUGUGACAGUGCUGCUGAUGCCUCAAUCUCAUCGAUCUGGCCACAAGUGAACGAUGCACUAAAAUAAUUCAUCAGUCAGUGGUAUUGCAUUCUCCCCUUUAGCCAGGCAGUGGAUCAGCUAUCCACCUGAUUAUCCAGGAUGCAGGUAGCUAACUGCUUGUUGUCAGCUUGGUUAAUAACUCCCACUUCAAUUGUGCAGGUUUUGAUGGAAGAAUCAAGGGAUUUGAGUAAGAUGAAAUCAUCUCUGGGGUCAAUUAGAUGAUCCAGAAAAGGUUUGGGGGAACAAGUGAACUAACAUUGACCUGGAUGCUUUCUGGAACACAGAGAGAAAUACAAUAAAGUAGAUAUGAUUAUUGGGUUGAGGAACGUCUUGACAUUCAGGCAAUUGCGAACAAACUUUCCGGACAUUUUUCAGAAGAAUAAUCUUGACACAGAAACUGAAAAGCUAGUGUUCCUCCAAAAAAUUGUUGUAAAAUGCUAAUUGGCAUUAUAAUACAGAGUGAUUUCAGAGAAGAUUUUCACUGAGAAGCAACGCACAAACGGGAGGAAUUACAUGCCAUGGUUCAGCCAUUGUUCAUGUGUGUGUGUGGGGGGGUGUUUGGUUCUUCAGGAAGUCCUAAAAUUUCUGUCACACCAAAUGUUUAGAUACUAAUUAAGAGUAUUAAACAUAAACUAAUUAUAAAAUCAAUUGCACAGAUGGAGACUAAUUUGCGAGACGAAUCUAUGAAGCCUAAUUAGUCCAUAAUUUGACAAAGUGAUGCUACAGUAACCAUUUGCUAAUGAUGAAUUAAUUAGGCUUAAUAGAUUUAUCUCGUGAAUUAGCCUCCAGCUGUGUAAUUAGUUUUAUAAUUAGCUCAUAUUUAAUCCUCAUAAUUAGCAUCCGAAUAUUCGAUGUGACACGAACUAGACUUUAGUCCACGGACCCAAACACCCUCUAGAUAUAUCGCUGAAAGAUUUGGAGGCAUUGGAGUUCGGAGAGCUCAGCGCGGCUUCGCCUGUCACCUCGCGCCACAUGUCCACGGAGACCUGCCGCCUGCCUUUUUUAGGGUGUAACUCAUGUCACAUCGAAUGUUUAGAUAUUAAUUAGGAGUAUUAAAUAUAGAUUAAUUACAAAACUAAUUGCACAGAUGGAGGCUAAUUUGCGAGACGAAUCUAUUAAGUCUAAUUACUUCAUGAUUUGACACUGUGAUGCUACAAUAAACAUAUGCUAAUGAUGGAUUAAUUAGGCUUAAUAGAUUCGUCUCACGAAUUAGCCUUCAAAUAUUCGAUGUGAUAUGAAUUUUAGUCCGGACUAGAGAUCCAAACACUGCGUCCGCUUCAGGCGAUGGGAGCAGCUGCUGCCGGCCGUACGCUUCGUCGUGGCCUCUUGAAGAAAUCGAGCAAGUAGGCUGGCCCAUACAGCGCGGUUCGACCGUCGCUCUUGCCGCCGCCGCCGCCACCUCCUUCUUCGUCCUCCUCCGCCGGCCAUCGCACCCCCUGCACCGAUCCGGCCACGCCAGCCCCACGCCCCCGUGCGCCACCCCGGCUUCGCGGCCGCCGCGGGGCCGUGCGCCGCCGCGGGGCUCGUGCGUUGUGCCCGGCCGCAUCAGCCCUCGCACUCCCAUACGUUGCGCCGGCCGCCGCGGGGGCGUGCGCUGCGUCUGGCUAGUGGCCACGCCGGCCCCGCGCUCAUGUUUCAUAUUCAUUUAACAAAAAAGAAACAUUGGGAACUUGGUUUGUUCCAUCUAUUCAAUUUUUCCCACCUAUUUGGUGGGUCCCACUUUUUCAUUAUUAUAUCAAUUCUGCAGUGAAAAAUGCUAAAAAUUUGGUGCCAUAUCUCUCUUCUAUAGGAUUCUCUACAUGUAUCCAGUAUCCCAACCGAUCCAUGCACGUCCCAGCUCUUCCGCGCGUAGCAAGCGCGGGCGCGGCAAGGCGCGCCUCGCGUCCUAGUCCCAUUACAAUUUACAAGAAAUUGACACCAAAAUUAUGUACGCAGGGAGCCUAUCUACAGCAAUCAUCCAUGACCUCUCUUCUAGGAGGAAGAAGAAGAAGAAGACAGCAGAUUGAGAACAAAACGCAGCUCGCACACAGUCCGCGCUGUGCCCGCGCUACACUUGGCUCUCCAGGUCCGGCUGCCGGCGGCCGGAGGACCCCGCCGCCGACGCCUUGGCACCGGCCUUAGGCGCCUGCUGCGGCGGCGGCAACGCGGGGCGCGCCCGGCAGACUGGGCAGGUGGCGCGCGCGCAGAGCCAGACGUCGACGCAGGCGGCGUGGAACGCGUGGCGGCACCCGGGCAGCGCGCGCACCGCGUCCCCGUCCUGCAUGGCGCUCAGGCACACCGCGCACUCCAUGGGCGAGGCGCUUCCGUCUCCGCUGCCGUGCGCGUCCGCCUUGAACAUGAGCACCGGCAUGGCCGCCAGCGCCGCCUUGUCCAUCCCGGCGGCGGGCCUCUUCCGCGCCGGCGGCCCCGCGCCGGAGUCCGUCCGGUGCACGCCGUCGCUGCCGCUCCAGCGCACGUACAGGUAGUUCAUGUACAGGAUCACCCCGUACAGCACCAGGCACACUGCCGUGAACGCGCCCACAAGCUCCAGCGUCGCGCCGGAGGUGCAGCACCUGCCGCGCCCCGGCGGCGCCGUCGCCGCCGGAGUCCCGGCUGACGCAUCCGCCGCGGACAUGCUUGCUCAGCUCGCUUGUCGAUCGGCUACCAGCUUGGAUGGGAUGCCACUCUGGAGCGCAGCGCCCUGGCGCGCGUUUCUUGCUAAGCUCGACUGGUCGCCGGCGGGUUGGUGCGAGGAGGGAAUUGUUAUGGGAUUUGGGGAGUAAUGGUGGGGCUCGGAUUGGUGCUCUGGAAUGCUCCGGAGGUUUGGAACUUUGUAUAGCAGCGGGUCCUGAUUAUGCAAGCGAUUGGGGUGAGGAUUAAUUAAGUGAUUAGUUAAUUGCGGUUUGGUGUGCGCAUCAGUUGCUCACUGCUCAUGGACGGAGAAAGGUAAGGGAGCGCGGGGCUUUUGUUGCCACGAAUGGUGCGGUUGGGUACCAUUCAUGCUGCCAUCCUGUCAAUGGGUUGGAGUGGCAGUGAGCUGAGCACACGGAUUUGGAUCUGGAAAAAAAAAAGGCACAUAGAUUUGGAGAUUGACCUGAUCACUGAUAGCUCGCCAAAUUAAAGUAACCUAGUAGGGUUAUCGUUAACUAGUCUGCUUUAGUUUUUUUCAUCGGUAGUGUGUGUUUUUUGGGAGUGAGCCAGAGGGCCCUACUUGCGAAUGGUUAGGCUGGUGACUUUUACAACUAGAUUUUACUUACAUUUUUAUGAGGGCCUAUAUUUUCACAAUCGUAUUAAAAAAAUUCAUUUUCAUUCUUUAGUUCAUUUGGUUUUAGCCCUUUUUUUGUGUUAAAGUACGUUAUGGUCCGACAAUGCUCCAGUGUGUGAAGCCUAUUAGUGCUUGCUAGAAGUAACUGAAAUAACCUAAAUUUCUAUCUUGGUUUAUUUAUAUUCCAAAUCCACCCUUAAACCACCUAUUUUUUGCAAUUGUUUUGUUAAUAUUCAGUUCUAUACUUUUUUUCUAGAUUAUCAUUACCUUUUAGAUUCUAUAUGUUGACCUUGUCAAUGGUAAAUUCUACUUUACUAGUUUAUUUCUUUUCAAAAUCAUCAUUCGUGUAGCAAAAAAGAAGAAAGACAGAAGGUCGGCCACAUCAAAGACAUACUGAUGGCCAUGCAUGUAAAAUUAAUACUUAUUUGCGAACCUGAAUUAAAUCCUAAAAAGAUAAUAAUCCAUCACUCUAAACAUGCCCUUCUUUAAAUAAUCGAUUUGUCGAAGAACAGGGUCACCAAGGGGUGAUUGGGGCCUGUGGUAUUUUUUAGUCAGUGAAAUAUUGUAAUCAUCAGAAGGUUUCUGCAUUUCUCUUUACCAUCCUAGCGGCGGCGCCUCCGGAUUCUUCGUCCUGUUGAAGUUGACUCGUGGAAUUGUAGAGAUGUGCCAAGAUUGCAAGAAACGAAGAAAUGGGGCAAAAUUAUUUGAGUGAUGAUGGGGACAAGGGAAUUAGGCACAACUGGGCCAGAGGCAUAUCCAGAGAAAGUGUACAAUAACACGAUGCCUAUCCACAAGGAAUGAUCAAGCAACCCAUGAGCAGCACCUGCUCAUGGUCUCUCAUUGUCUGGAAGGUGGAACUGGUCUCCAAUGGUAAAAGGUGAAGCUGAAAACUACUGACAGAGAUAUGACGGUUCUACUCGACGAAAAGAUCUGCACGAGAAAAUAUUGCUAUAGCAUCUCAGGCACAGUACAGAGGGUUUUAGGAAAGUUCGUAAUUGGAGGAACUAAAGAACAAUCGAGGGUAAAACAGAGAAGGUAACAUCUUGGUCAUUUUCAUUUGUCUGAAUUUUGUUCUGCCCCGAUGUCCUUUUGAGCAGCCAUGGCCAAGUUGUGUGUUCAGUUAGUGUAAAGAGCUGGAAAUCUUAUCCUUAUGCACCACAGCACCAGCUUAUGUAUUUUGGGGCCACUAAGAUGGGAGAUGGCAAACACAAAGAUGGCAACGAUUCGUCUAUUUAAGAAUAUCUUGAAAGCACAUGACAUGUUGCAUUAUCCUGUUUGUGACUAUAAUAUUAGGAUUUCACACGUUAGCUUGUUGAAUGUAUACGACGUGGAUCGAUCGAUCUGAUCACAUAUGCAUUAGUUAUAAUGAUGAAAUUUUUAUAGAUGUUGGUGCAGUUUUUAUUCUUUUGUUUUUGUUGCUGCAUUUUGUACCUCUUACACACUGGUGUAUUGAUGUGAUGCAAAUGACGCUUCCAGAAAGUUGAUCUUUAUCUGCAAAUAGUCAUUGCAUUUGGACUUGUAGUAGUUCUUUUUUUAUAACCAAAUGCCAAAUUGAUUCCUUAUUGGUACAGGUAUGAUACAAAAUUUACAGUAAAUAGGAACAAGCUAUCUCGAGAGGCUAUGUUCAAUUGCCUUCUUGCUAUGCGGAAAUGUGUGCCUGUCAUCAUUUCUAGGUUUCAUUCUCUGCACGUAAGCUGUCGCAUUUCAAGAUAUUUUACACGACGGAGACACAACAAAGGGGUAGUACAGGCAUACGUGGCGCCGAAACUCGCAGCACAAAUGGAUCAGGUUUGGACAGUGACCCAAAGUGUAGGAUGUGGUCAUGUGGAAAGGCGGCUACCAAGCAAGAACCAACGGUUGCAUUUUAUCUUCAGUUGGUCUCAGAUACCCGGUCAAGUUUCAGCAGGUUUCAGCUAAGCCAUUUCCAGAGAAUUCCUUGCAUUGGGUGUUUGUGUAUGCGGUAUGCUGCAUAUGCAUAAGAGAAUUUGAAGCACAGUUCCAAUAACGUUAUUGCUAGUUCCAAUCAUACUUGAGACGACAAAAGAUGAUCAAAAUUUAAUUCUCCAAACCAGAUUUUAUUUGGCGUUGGCCUCUAUUUCAAAUCCAUGACCUCAGGCCUCGGGAUCACCGCUGCUACCUGCUGCAGCGUGCUGCCGAACUCCUUUGCCGCCGUCGCCUGACCAGAUGGAGGAUGGAGGUAUAUCAUUGUGAGAGCUGGGCGGCGAAUCGACGCUGGUGCUAGGUAUGGAGAGAGGGAUGGGGGUGAUUAUUGUGUGAGAGAAACAAGAUUAGGAAUUGUGGACGGUACGGUAGCGAUGAAUGGAUGAUCCAGUUGAAGCAAGGCAUUCCAUAAUGUGCAUCAUUAUUUAUGUACAAUCGGUGGCAACAUGUCGUUUCACCCUGUGUUUUCGACCUUUUUUUUUUGUUAACACGGACACACAUAUGCACUCGCAAAUGCUCACCAUGUUUUCUAGUCUUUUUAACUUUUUAGUGAAAUAAUCUUUAUUAACAAAGUUUCAACCUCUACUAAAACAAGAAACGACGCAACACAAAUCUCAAACUCAAGAAAAUCAAACAUUUAAUUCUACGUCCCAACUACUAAGAGCUAGCCUGAUUCAGUAGCGAAUAUUCUCUUACAUCACGAAAUAUGUCAACUUUUUUUUCAUAUGGGGCUCACCCUAUUCCCAUUCAUAGCACGGAAAUUCCACAUGUCCGUUACACGAGAAAGGAAACGAUUAGACGCUUACCAGGCUAGUCUAUCUAUCGGGAAGAUAAACUAGUGAAACUUUAAACCUCCAGGAUUCCCAGGGAACCCUCAAUUCGGUGUUGACACUGGUUUGACAGAGGUGGACACAACACCUUAAGACUACUGGAAACUUAACAGAAAGACACACAGCAAAAGACAUUUUCUGCAAGCGCCAAGCAGAUGAAUGCCGUCAGCUUCUCUUCGGACCUUGUUUUCUUCUCCUCUAUCAGUUCUCUUCCUCUUCUUCCUGACUCCCUCUUGGUGUAGAUGGCAUCAGUCUCGCCUGCUGCGGAGCUUGUUGUACCAUCACCUUGUGCGCGCAAGCCAGCAACAUCUUGACACCCUCCAUUAGCUUGUCCUGUAAGUCGGAGCUGCAGAGACAUGUCCAAUAAUUCAUAAAGGCACAAGCAUGAAUCAAGAUUUCCAUCAGGUUUCUAAUUAUUUUUUUAUCGAAACAAGUUUUGUUUCUACUCUUCCAAAUAGCCCAACAUAUUGCAGCAAGACCCAAAGUGUAGACUGCUUCGUCCCUAUGCAACCAUCUCCUUACCCAAGCUCUGUAAUAAAAUGUGUCAACUUAUAUUUUAAAAUUCGUGAACGGGUGGACUUCAUUUAUCAGUGGAAGUAAAAUUAGGCAAAAAUAGUGUCCAGAGCUCGAACCUGACUUUGGCAAAAAUAGUGUCCAUAGCUAGAAUCAAACUCUCACCCUCAUUCUUUUAAUACAAAGGGUGCUCACAUAAGCUUCUCCAAUAUAUGUAACGACACUUUAGUUCAAAUUUACCUAAGUUUAGUGACCGAAAAUUACGUUUUCUUUUUCAUUCUUUGAAAUGUUGAGCCCUGCUCUUGACCCAUUUGUGUAAUGUUGCAGCUUGCACAAGCAGUUUCAGUUCCCUGUCGCCCGGGUAUGCAGUUGGCAGGAACUGAAUUGCAAACCCACACGAAUGCUCCUGUAUCGAUUGAAUGCAUAAAACCAUACAUGCUCGUCCUGCACAGCCCAUGGGUUUUACAUACUAAAUGUUCAAAUGCAUCCAUCAUCAAGUCACAUCAUAUCUUCCUUUUUUCGCGACAUCCUAGUUGUAGGUACUUAAUUCCCUGUCUGGAGAAGAAAGAUGCUUCUAGGCGGUCCACAGGUUUUAGAAGUUAUUGUCAAAUGACAAUUCUGAAUAUGCAUACCUGUGGACCUAUUGGUAAUCAACAUUUCCUUUGCGCUCCACAUGUUUUAGUAGGUGUUUCCUUUGAAACAGAGAUGGUAAACGGCUACACGCUCAAGUCGCAGUUACUUAGUAUUACAUAGCUUUGGUCAUUAGUUUAAAUUAAAGAAAUCAAAUUAUGGUAGUAAAUUUCUAAAAAAAAUUCUGAUAUGAUUUUAAAGGUUUUGAACCUGUGUAUAUUAUGAAAAAUAUCAACAGUUAGAAUGUGAAAAGUUUGAGGAAAAAUUACCAUAUACUCCCUCUAUCCCAAAAAGAAUGACGUCUUGGCAUUCAAAAUUUGUCCAAAAAGAAUGACGUUCUAGGAUUUAAAUCUUAUGCAUGCGCAAUUUGGCGCGUUGAUCUCAUGCAUGCAUAAUUAAAUUGAAACAUAUUUUCUCCAUUUUCUAUAUGCAAACUGAACUAACUAGGUACAUGUGUUUUUUUCAUUCACCUCUAAAUUCCAAAAAACUAUACUUUUUUGGUUGGGAUGCAGGGAGUGCUGUAUUUUUUCACUAGAGAGUAACCUAGGAGAGAGUAGCAUAUUUCCACGUUUUUCUACUAUUAUACGCUAAAUGCGCAAAAUCUUUGGUUGAAAAAACGGGUAAAGUGGCAAUCAAACGCCCAAAAGUUAAAGCCCGUGUCUACUAGACCCAAGGCCACUAGGGCGGCUCACGGAGGCCCAGACUGCGGCGCCUCACCAACCAGCAAGGCAACAAAAGCACCCCGCCGCCCGGGCGCCCGGCCAUGUCGUCGUACGGGUACGGCCCCACCGCCGCCACGGCGGACGCGUUGGAAGUUGCCGCCGGCGGCGGCAGCUACCGUGUGUGCGACACGGUGGUGCUCGUCUGCCUCGCCUGCGCAUCCGGCCUCAUCGUCCUCACGGUGGCCGUCUGCUUCCGGCGCGCCUUCGCCCACGGGUACGCGGCCGCCGCCGUGGGCGGGAACGGCGCUGGGCCCGCCGCCGCCGCCAGCGGCAGGAACCGGUGCGGGCUGCCGCCGUCCGUGCUCUCGGCGAUCCCCAUGCUCGCGUACCGGAGGGGCGCCGCCGGCGCUGGCGCCGGGUGGGCGCAGUGCGCGAUCUGCCUCGCCGUGGUGCGGGACGGGGAGACGGUGCGGCUGCUGCCGGCGUGCGGGCACCUGUUCCACGUCGAGUGCAUCGACCUGUGGCUGCGCUCCCACGCCACGUGCCCGCUCUGCCGGCGCGACGUAGGCGAGGCGGCCGCCGAGAAAGUUUGAGCUCGCCGCCGGCCUCUGGCUCAACUUCUUUCCCUCCAUGAUAUCCACAUCUUGGUACUUGUACGUGGUAGCUAGGAAAUUAGGCAUAGUUUCAUUUUGAUGCUAGAAUUAAAGGAUUUUUGUAGCCAUCUGAUUGGGGGAAAGCUCAUUCUUCUUUUUUUUAUGCACUUGGUUUUGCCAUUUUCAUAACCUGCAAUCAUAUGGAUGCAAGAUGCACAUUGAAAUAUUAGACGUGUCUAAAUCAGGAGACCCUGCAAGUAAAUCCGAUAAGGAUUUGGAUUAGAUUGGGGUGUAAAAAAUACAGGAUGAUGAUGAAAUGGUGGCAGCGUAGGUCAACUUUGGAAGGAUAUUGCAAUGAUCUAUAUCUAUCGUCAAGGAUAUUAUAAGGACAAUAAUUUUACUUCGUCAUGCAUCCUGAUUUGAUAGUAGCCAAUAUAAAAUAAUCUGCGAAAUUGGUACUUCUGCCUUACUACAUGUCCAUCUGUGAUGUCCUUAUCUGGAACUCAUGGUGUCACUUCUUGCCAAUGGCUCAAUAUAUCAUCUUGAUUUUAUAAUACCCUCUAUCUAUAAUUUAUAUAUGUGCUUCUUGAUUUUAUGGUGUCACUUCUUGUGUGCUUCUGGUGAUGAAACUUCUGUGCACUAAAUUUAAUAUAUGUAUAGUAUAUAAUCUGACUAAUAAUUGUUGGUCAAAAUUUGCAAACUUUGACCAUUUCAAAUCAAAAUACGUCUUACAUUGUUGAGCAUAGAGAAUACUACCAUGUUUACUCAACAAAUGGUGAAAAUAAAAGUAGAGAACCUUGUGUUCUUAGACUUUAGAAAAAAGGACAAUAAAAAACCACAUGUUUUAAAGACGUUUGCACUGCGGGUAGAUUGAAAUAUCUCAAAUUUCGUGGCGAACUAAAUGGACCACUGCCUAAAAUAUCUUGUGUCAUCGUUACAUAUUUGCUGUCACUUCUGUAGUUCUUUCAGUUCGACAGAGCAGUUUGUGCAGAAUCCUGCUCGAAAGUAAACCGUGUGGACAGGGCCGAACUUGAUGGAAGCAGAGCACCACACUUCCAUCCAUCACAAUUCCCAACCGGCAAGUACUCAUUAGACAGUGACAUUAAUAUCUAUGAGAGAUCUUUUAGAAAGAAGAUAGAGCAAAUGCCAUAUAGGAAAUCUGCUUCUUUAAUCUAAAUUUUGGUAUCAUCAUUUUAUUACGCAAAUGUGUUAGUGUUAACUGCAUUGUGUUUAGACUGUAUCAGCACAAAUUGCUUUUCUGCCAGGUGGAUACAUCAUUUUAAUGGAGGGGAGCUUCCCAUAUAGUAGUGUGGUGGCGGAUGUUCGAGGGUACAACUCUACCUACCAGAGCUUAAAUGUUGAUGGCCCCCGAUCUAAUUACACUCAUGCGAGUUCUUCUAAUGGGUUUAUUUGUAGGCGUGAGUCGUGGAUAUGUGACACUAUGUGUGUUUGUGUGCGUUGUAAUAGCAACGAGAAGAGGUACAUAGGGGAAGGAGCAGUCAUCUUACAAGACGACUCAUGAGAUGCACAUGCUAAACUUUAUGUGGUAGUAUUUCAUCUCAAACUAGCAACUAGGAACGUGUGGCACGCACGUGCAUAAUCUUGACAUUGCACACAGGGAACGUCGCUAGAUUUCUACAAUUUGCCAUCGUGCUCUUUAGAAAUAUAAAAUGUUUCCUUGUGUGCAUUGUUAUUAAAUUAAUUAAUUCCAAAUUUGCAAUUAAUUAUCUUCCAAAUCAAACACAUUACCUAACAAAAUGUACUAAUUGCCUUCCAAAUCAAGCUUAUGGUUUCCACAUAUAGUGCACGGUUAACCCAUCAACUAUUCGAGGUAUGUGAACCAUAUGAGUAGAUAUGGAUGAUUGAGAUAUCAAAUAGACUAGCUACAAAAAAAAAACUAGAUGCAUUUAUAGUUUAGAGUUGAUCUUGAAAAUAAAUAUAUAGUCAAAUAACUUUUCCUUCAACUAAUUCUAAGAACAACAUGAUUCUUUGUGUAAAUAUAUCUAUACCUAAUAUUAAAGUGCGGUUGUUUCUUCCAACCGUCGUGGUUGUUUUGCAAAAAAAAACCCUCAAACUUUACUGAAAUCAACCCGCGAUCCAAUUUCAUCAUCGACUGUUUCAGCCAUCCGUCAUUGACCGUUGACAUCCUCCCACUCCAUCUUAGUUCCCGCAUCAAUCGCGGAUCACCCCCACCCCGCUUACAAGUUCAAAUCUCUAUCUGUUAUCCUGGUCUGCAAGCUCCCCUUCGCCCUAUCCGUUAGCCGGCCACACGAUGCUCGUCACCUCCCUUCUCCUGCUCCUCGCGCCGCCUAUCUGUGUCUCACCUCCCUGCACGAGGACACGCGACACAGCGGUAGGAGAUCAAAUUUGGGAGCUGCAGCUGCACGCUUGUCAAUCUGCAUGUGGAUUGGGGCUUAUCUGAUUUCGUUGCUUGAUGUGAAAUACAACUAAGAGGGAUCAAAGAGAAGGAAGAUUUGGCUUGCGUGAAUUGGUUGCUUGACUCGGAUUUGGUGGUGCUCGCGUGUUCCGGCUAGAGGAAGAGGAGCAGGGAGGUGUUGGCUUUACUGUCGCCUACUGAAUCGAGCAUUGCUGGUGCGAAUCAAGCUGCAGGCUACAGCAGCCGUGGAAUCGAGCACCGCCGCCCAACUGCUGCCCUGGACCUGCAGCUCAACCACCGCCCCUCAGCAACUCUUCCUCCCUGCCUGAUGUGCUCCUCCAGCACUCUGCCAUGCGCCAUGGGCCAAAACACUAAGGCCCUUGACCUUCUGGCCCCCACGCGCUGGUCCACUGCAACCACGGUGCUUACCAGCUAGGAGAAAGAACGCGAUGGAGGGGAGGCAAAUACUAGGAGCUCCAGCUCGUUGGCCCUCCACCGGCCCUGGCACCUUGCUCGCCAGCACUGCUCACAAUGGUGCCGGCCACGAAGCGGCACAUGGACGGACGGUUCACAAUUGUAAAAAAUGGACGGUAGAAGCCUGGCAGAGAUAAGACUCAGCAUAUUUACAUAAAAGCUCCUGUAGUUGUUCUAAAAUGUGCCACUGACUAAUCCUAAAAUGCAAUUUUGAAUAAACAUCUUCAAAAAGAUCCUAGGUUUCUUAGUAUUUGAGUAGAGGAAUUUGUAUUUCAUAGCCGCAACAAACAUAUAUUAUAUGUCUAUCUUUUUCGAUCACAUCAAUUAAAAUGCAAAUAUAUGCUCCAUCAUUUUUUCUAAGUAUAAUAAUCAUGCGCUAAUAUUAUUUGCACAAAUUUAUAAUUAUUUAAGUAGUUCAUUUUAAAUUUAAUAUUUUUCUUCCGUUGCAACGCACGGGCAUAUUUGCUAAUAUUUUUUCAAACAUGGCAAGGUUUAGGAUAAUAGAUCGAUCAUCUUUCUUGUUCUUUUUAAUAAAGUAUAGUCGAUGCGCACCAUAUUAAUAGAGAGAGAGAAAAGAUGGUGCGUGGAUCAAAGGGGUAGUUCCACAUUUGAUAUCAUUUAUAUGAUAGUCUUUCCAUUCUCUAGUAUUUGGACCCUAGGAUCAUUUUUAUGUAUGGAUCAAAGGGGUAGUUCCACAUAUUGAGAAGACUAAAAGCACAAAACUGUGACCCCCCCCCCCCCUAACAUCUCAUUGAGCUCUAGUAGGAUAACCACAAUACUGUGGCCAUUUUUCCCACAAGUUGUGCGACCAAACUGGCUUUGCGUUCAAGUAUAUGAUAUUUUCAAGGUUUUUCCCAACUCAAAAGCUCUUCCUCCCAAAAUUGGAAGCUUAUUCGGAUCAGUCAAACGUUUGGGCCGACAGACCGCUUCGUUAGUUUCAUGGGCCAUUCCUUUGCUGCACACACACCUGGGCUGAUCAUAAAACAGCACACAUUGGGCCGAAAGAUUGCGCCCAGUCAUUCGUUAGUACUCCUUCCGUCCCAAAUUACUAUUCGUUUCGUCUUUUCUAGAUGUAAGAAUGAUACAACACACAUUGGGACGGAGGGAGUAUCUGUUUUAAUCUCAUUCAUUUUUGCUUGUAAUGAUACCAUUGUUUUUAUAUUUUAGUCUUUCACUAAUGAUGGUGGAAUUCCAUAUAUAUAACCGCAUUAGUCUCUGUCACUGGUUUUGUCAAAGCUCAGCAAGGUGCAUUGUUAAUCAGAUGGUGGCCUGGCUGCCUACUUGGAGGAAGAGCCGGCCGUCGAACACCCUUAAAUAACGCAGCCGUUGCGCAAUGCAAACGGAAAGAAUGACAUGAACUUCGAUCUCGAAAGAUUUCACACGCACCCAAGUUAUCCACGCAUGGGGAUUCCAGUUGGUGACUGAGUUAUCCAUGACGCACAUACGGGAGCAUGGACGCAAGAACAGGCCAGAUACACGCACAGGAAAGUGAAUUAUUUGACCUUCCCGUUGUGCACUUGUGGGAGUUUUUUUUAAUGAUUUGACCUACACGGAUUUGUGAGAUGUAACUGUGUGCUGCAAUUCACAGUGACCUACUCCUGCUCAUCACCUUUUGUAAUUAGUUUCUCUGAAUAAUCUGACUCACAGUUUAAUUGGACAAACUAAUAGGGUAUAUAUCCAUAUAUGUUCUAUUUUCAUGAAAAAAAUACUUCAUACUAAAAUACGUAUAUAAAUAACAUAUACACUGCAUAUGUUUUACUUUCUACUCCCUCUAUUCCAAAUUAUAGGUCGUUUUGAAUUUUUUAGAUUCAUAAAGUUUAUUAUGCACUUAGAUAUACCCUAUGUCUAGAUAUAUAAUAAUAUCUAUGCAUCUAGAAAAACUAAAAUGACCUAUAAUUUGGAACGGAUGGAGUAAUUAUUCCCCCCUCGAAACAGAAGAGAAAUACCCCUCAAAUUCUAACAAAGAAAUUUGAUCCAUUGUCAUCGCCAAUUCUUUGACUGAACAAAUACAAGAUAAUUUGUGAGAGAUCUAGCCCAUUUCAUGCCACAUUCUUGGGGAUCAGAAAUUCUGAAGUCAAUUCCAAUACCGUGGGCAAACAAGCUGCGCCCCAGGAUAUAUUCUCAUCCAAAUAAACUCUCAAUUAUGACAUGCUCUAACUACUUUUUCCGUUCCUCCGUUCCAAAUUGUAGGUCGUUUUAGCUUUUUUAAAUUAAUAGAUAUUAUUAUUCAUCUAGAUAUAGUGUAUGUCUAAUAGAAAAAUUAAAAUGACCUACAAUUUGUGAUGGAGGGAGUAACAUACUAGAUAUAGUGUAUGUCUAAUAGAAAAAUCAAAACGACCUACAAUCUGGGAUGGAAGGUGAUGGAAGGAGUAAUAUGUUAUUAUCCUUAAUUACAUCCAUGAACUUCAACGCGAAAAAUUUAAAAAUUUUCGCCCAACUUGCGCGGCUUAUAUAUACACCCGUCACUAAGCAAAUUUAGUACUCCAAGAAUCUAAGAUACCGCCACCAUCUACAGCUAGCUCAGCUGCCUGCACAGCUGCACUGCGCUGCAGAAAGCUACGACCUCGAUCGAGUGAGCCAUGUCGCUCUCGUCCAACACCAACUCGCUUCCCUACUCGACGGACAAGGGCGGGUACAGCACCCACGACACGCUCGUCCUCCUCGGCAUCGGCUUCUGCGCCACCGCCGUCUCAAUCCUCAUCAUCGUGCUCUGCGAGUGCCUGUGCUGCCGCCGCCGCCGCGCGGGGGGCACGGUCGUGUACGUGGCGGCCAGGCCGUUUUUUCUGCACGGCGACGGAGACGGCGGCGGCGGGCUGAGCCCCUCCGCGGUGGCCGCGCUGCCGUCGUUCGUGUUCCGCAGGGGCCUGGCGGCGGUGAGCAGCGGCGCCGGCCGCGGCGAGGGCAGCGGCAGCGGCAGCGGGCGCGGGUGGGCGCAGUGCGCGGUGUGCCUGAGCCUAGUGCAGGAGGGGGAGGUGGUGCGGCGGCUGCCGGCGUGCAUGCACCUGUUCCAUGUCUGCUGCAUCGACAUGUGGCUGCGCUCCCACUCCACGUGUCCCCUCUGCAGGGCCACCGUGGAGCCUACCAAGCAGGCGUCUUCAAAGGAGCAGGCGCCACCGGUGUAAUGCAAACAUCGCAGUUCGUCAGUGAAAACAGAAAUAUCACAAGAUUUUGUGUACUAUAAGUACUAGAAUUAUAGGAUGUAAAGUAUGCGUAUUGUUAUGUGUACAAUUGUACAAGUUUACUUUGUACGUUUGGAACAUGAGUUUUUCCUCAAUCGUACCAGAGUCUAACCGAAUAAUCUGUUGAAAUUCCUGUAGGAUUCAUGCAUUAGGAACUUCCUGGUUGCUGCUAGUCUAUGUACGUAUACUUGUUGCUGAUGUUUGAAGCUUAACAUAAUGCAUGAUUACGCGAUCGAUGUCUAACUUGUUUUGGUUGUACACUUGUCCAUUUCUGAUCCCAUAUGCAAAUAUUGUGAGGUUAGUGUUUUGGAAGUGAUCCCCGCGAUGAUGAAAGAGUUAGAAGCUUGAAAUGGUCAGACCACUCUGGUGUGGUUCUUGAGAUUGACCUGUUACAGAAUAAUUGAGAAGCCAUCUUCAGAGUCAAUGAACUUCUUUAUUUUUUAUCUUCUUGUUAUUUAGUGAAAAGCACUUCAACAUCAAAGGAAAUGAGCAUCUAUCCGGUGACGAUCUCAUUGUUUCCCUUAGCUAGGCAAAUCAAUUGAAAUUGUCGUGCACUAUAUGACAUUUACAGGGACGUACGUAAGCCAAUGUGCAUAAACUUUUGCGUUCAUUGGCUCGUUGCAAUACAAUCAACUGUCAGCUUCACAGGAGAUAAAGGAGCAAUUAGUCCCAAAUACUACUACAGUGGUACUGAAGCAGUUCCCAAACUAUUUAAGAUGCUUUCCCCAACUUCAACCCUUUGUUAUCCAAGCCCGUAAGUCUAUAAGAGCAACUUCAAGAGUACUCCAAAAAAUUCUUCCCCAAAACUAUGUAUUAGGGUUCUUCCAAAAAAAAUUUCCCCCAAAAACAUAUCAAUCCACAGCAGAUCGCUAAUAAAUAGCCUACAAUAUUUAAAAACAGGCCACGUCAUUGUAUUGGGCCCAUCAGAAGGGACGCGCGAGCGUGUGGGAAUUAGGAUUGGGGGAGGAAUGCCAACGCUAAAAUAUACGCGGUGGUAGGCUGUUUUUUAGCGUUGCUAAAAAAUUGGGGAAGGUUUGGGUGGACUGUUGGAGUUCGUUUUUUCUCCUUUUUUCCCUAAAAAAUGUAUUAGAGGUAAGAUUAGGAGCCUCUUGGAGUUGCUCUAAAGAUGCUUUUGCAGCCCACUACAAAUGUUUUUGUGAAUCCGUUUUUAGAUAUUAUAAAACUCAUUCCUCAUGCAGUAAUUCUACGAGAAAGGAAAAAAAAAAUCCCACUGCUCUGUUCAUGUACAACAAUGUAAAUAGAAAGUUCCAAUCCCAAAAAGUAAACUGGAAGCAGUAUCAAGUAGUUAUGAUUGGGCCAGUUGUUCCAUGCAUAGACAAACUUGAUGGGCCUCAUGAUCUAAAAUGCCAAAAAUAUUUUGAACGUCCAUAUAAGUUUUGGCCCAACCUGCCUGACCACCCAAAAAGGCGCCAAAACUCACUAGCCCAUCAAAGUUAUUGCACAGUCACUAUGUGUAAAGCUGAACAGAUCAUACAUGGUCCGACACUUCCACCAAUUCAACUGUACUACGCCCUCCGUUUCAUUUUAGUGACUGUGCAAACAAUUUUUUAAUUGAUUAACGAUACAGGACGCACUCCCGUUUCAUAGCAAAAAUAUACAACUAGUAUACAUGAAGGAAAAGAGCAGGGAUAGUUAGAGCUCUUACUAUAGCUGAAAAUGAGGCAAUUAUCACCCUAUCCGACAGUGAGGUGCAUGUGGUGCUUUAUCGAGAGUUAAGUGUGCAUGCGUAUGCUCGUAGAGGUGAGCGUAUGUGGUGUGUGAAAUUGUGAGCGUCUGCAUUAGUAUUGUGUUUUGAAAAUAAGACUUCAAAUGUAUUCGCUAUUUUACAAAAAUAUAACGACCCUUUCUACCUUGUUGCCGUCGUUUACGUCGUUCUGCAAACUAAUACACCAUGUUCUAAAAACAAGCUAGCUUGGACGUGCUGCAGCCGGUGUUCGGACGCUGCACGGUGACAGACACGUCAAGGAAACAUGGUUACCUCCGUUUCGGAUGCUGGCGGUGGUGAACAACGGGAUACCAGAUAGCAACCCAUAUCCCUUUUUUAGGAGCUCAUCAAGAUAAAUGACAACGACACCUCCAAAGGAAAGCUGAAGUGCAAUCAGAACCGACUGCCCUGUGCUAAGUUUGCCAGCGAUAGUUGAAACUACGGAGCUGCUUGCACCCGGAUGUCUGAGCCGCUAGCAUUGAACGCUUCACCAUCCAUCCGAAAAAUUCCCACCGCAACAUUGGACCGACGUUGCAUGCAACAUCACCGGUUGCAACAUUGAAAAUUUUCAUAUGUAACAUCAGAAUCGAACGAUUGAAACAUAGAAAAUAUGCACAAAAAUAGUUUAUAACUGCAUCUAAACCUCACGACUACUUGAUCCAUCUCAAAAGGGAAAAUACUGUGAAAAUGAUUUGAAAUAUUACAAAACCAAGAUAAAUCAAGACAUUAGCCGCAAAUAUUGAAAUUUUGGGAUGGCAACAACUCAAAACUUCCACUGCAACAUGCCAAAACAGUAGAUGAAACAUGAAACAAAAGUAAUCCAGUAAAAUAUUAUGUAACAACAUCUUGAUCGGUCUGUUUUGACAUCUCUAAUUAUCUUAUGCAACAUUCAAAAAUCAACAAUUGAAACAUCCAAAAUUAGUAGUGCAACAUCAAGAAAUACGAAUCACAACAUCAUAAAUGAAUUACUGCAACAUCAAAAAAAUCCAACGCCCUGAAAUCACCUAUGUACCUCCAUCCUCCAGCUUCUCACCACCCAAAAUUAAUCUCAAUCGCUAGAGUCGAUCUCCUAGCCGCUUCAACUGAUGAUAGGCAGUCGACAUCGAGCUCUUCAUACCUUACAAAGGGACUCGAGCUCUUCAUCACCGUGCCAUCAGGAUCGAGCUUCUUGUCGCCUGAAUCGACACCUCACUGUUGGAAUUGAGCUUCUGUAACUCAAAUCGACACCAGAGCUAGAAAUUGAGUCGCUUGGACCACCCCUUGCUGUGCAGUUGCGUCGGUGCUACCGGAUGCGCCGCCGUUGAACAUGCACCAUCAUUCGCUUGAUUUCGCAUCGCUUAGGCCGCUAAGCUUCCGACGGAGUCACUGCUGUGCUCUUGGGCCUGACGAGCAUAGCAAGCACAGACGCGAGAGGUGACUCCUUGCGCCUCUGUGCCGCUCGACAGUCUCCGCCGCUAAUCUUGCCGGCUUGUGUGGUCACACCGGUGGGGAUCGUAGCAGUAGCAGGAAGGGGAGAGGAGGAGGCUUUGCUUGCAGAAUGAAUGGUCGCGAGCUUGCAGCGUGGACUCUGGACUGAACCGGUGUGCCAU
rnacentral:lncRNA from 1 species